GAACGCUGGCGGCGUGCUUAACACAUGCAAGUCGAACGGUGAAGCCCUUCGGGGUGGAUCAGUGGCGAACGGGUGAGUAACACGUGGGAAAUCUGCCCUGCACUCUGGGACAAGCCUUGGAAACGAGGUCUAAUACCGGAUAUGACCUUCCUCUGCAUGGGGGUUGGUGGAAAGCUCCGGCGGUGCAGGAUGAUCCCGCGGCCUAUCAGCUUGUUGGUGGGGUAAUGGCCUACCAAGGCGACGACGGGUAGCCGGCCUGAGAGGGCGACCGGCCACACUGGGACUGAGACACGGCCCAGACUCCUACGGGAGGCAGCAGUGGGGAAUAUUGCACAAUGGGCGAAAGCCUGAUGCAGCGACGCCGCGUGAGGGAUGACGGCCUUCGGGUUGUAAACCUCUUUCAGCAGGGAAGAAGCGCAAGUGACGGUACCUGCAGAAGAAGCACCGGCUAACUACGUGCCAGCAGCCGCGGUAAUACGUAGGGUGCGAGCGUUGUCCGGAAUUAUUGGGCGUAAAGAGCUCGUAGGCGG
rnacentral:rRNA from 1 species